rnacentral:rRNA from 1 species
UACAGAGGGGGCAAGCGUUGUUCGGAAUUACUGGGCGUAAAGGGCGCGUAGGCGGCCUUCUAAGUCGAACGUGAAAUCCCCGGGCUCAACCCGGGAACUGCGUCCGAUACUGGAAGGCUUGAAUCCGGGAGAGGGAUGUGGAAUUCCAGGUGUAGCGGUGAAAUGCGUAGAUAUCUGGAGGAACACCGGUGGCGAAGGCGACAUCCUGGACCGGAAUUGACGCUGAGGCGCGAAAGCCAGGGGAGCAAACGGG